CGGAAGCGGACGGUGAGGGUGACGCCUUCUCGCCGCCGCUGUCGCGGUGCGUCGUUGUGUGGUGGCGGAAAGAUGGCAGCGGCCAUAGACAGGGUGAAGAUGAAGUAGUGCUCUGACCAUGGACCAUGAUGCCCCCACAAUCAAGCCCCGCCGCAUCCAGAACCAGAAUGUCAUCCACCGCCUGGAGCGCCGUCGGAUCAGCUCUGGCAAGGCCGGCACCCACUGGCACCAGGUCCGAGUCUUCCACCAGAACGUCUUCCCCAACUUCACCGUGGUCAACGUGGAGAAGCCACCCUGCUUCUUGCGCAAGUUCUCCCCCGAUGGACGCUACUUCAUCGCCUUCUCCUCCGACCAGACAUCACUGGAGAUCUACGAGUAUCAGGGCUGCCAGGCGGCAGAGGACCUCCUGCAAGGUUAUGAGGGGGAGAUCCUGGCUAACGGCAAUGACCAAAGAUCUGUCAACAUCCGAGGGCGGCUCUUUGAGCGCUUUUUUGUCCUGCUCCAUAUCACCAAUGUGGCCUCUAACGGGGAGCACCUGAACCGUGAGUGCAGCUUGUUCACUGAUGACUGUAGGUAUGUCAUCGUUGGCUCUGCUGCUUACCUCCCCGAGGAGCCGCACCCGCCCUUCUUUGAGGUUUAUCGCAACAGUGAGUCGGUGACCCCCAACCCUCGCUCCCCUCUGGAAGAUUAUUCCCUGCAUAUCAUUGAUCUCCACACAGGCAGGCUCUGUGACACGAGGACUUUCAAGUGUGACAAAGUCAUCCUCUCUCAUAACCAGGGGCUGUACCUCUAUAAGAACAUCUUGGCCAUUCUCUCCGUGCAGCAGCAGACGAUUCACGUCUUUCAGGUGACACCCGAGGGGACUUUCAUCGACGUGCGGACAAUCGGCCGCUUCUGCUACGAGGACGAUCUGCUGACGCUGUCUGCGGUGUAUCCCGAGGUGCAGCGGGACUCUCAGACAGGGAUGGCAAACCCCUACAAAGAGCCCUUCAUCAAUUCUUUGAAGCACAGGCUGCUGGUGUACCUGUGGAGAAGGGCAGAGCAGGACGGCAGCGCGAUAGCAAAGAGGAGGUUCUUCCAGUACUUUGAUCAGCUGAGGCAGCUCCGCAUGUGGAAGAUGCAGCUUUUGGAUGAGAACCAUCUGUUUAUCAAAUACACUAGUGAAGAUGUGGUCACACUGCGGGUAACAGAUCCUUCACAGCCUUCAUUCUUUGUCGUGUACAACAUGGUGAGCACGGAGGUCAUAGCCGUGUUUGAGAACACGUCCGAUGAGCUGCUGGAGCUGUUUGAGAACUUCUGUGACCUCUUCAGGAACGCCACUUUGCACAGCGAGGCGGUUCAGUUCCCCUGCUCUGCUUCCAGCAACAACUUUGCCAGGCAGAUCCAGCGCCGGUUCAAAGACACUAUUGUGAAUGCCAAGUACGGGGGACACACAGAGGCCGUGCGGAGGCUGCUGGGCCAGCUCCCAAUCAGUGCCCAGUCGUACAGUGGCAGCCCGUACCUCGACCUCUCCCUUUUCAGCUAUGAUGACAAGUGGGUGUCUGUCAUGGAGCGGCCCAAGACCUGCGGUGAUCACCCUAUAAGAUUUUACGCUCGUGAUUCUGGCCUCCUGAAGUUUGAAAUCCAGGCGGGACUCCUGGGGCGGCCCAUCAAUCACACCGUGCGACGCCUGGUUGCGUUCACCUUCCACCCCUUCGAGCCCUUUGCCAUCUCGGUGCAGCGCACGAACGCGGAGUACGUGGUAAACUUCCACAUGAGGCAUAGCUGCACGUAGGGCAACGCGUGGGCAGGGCAGCUCUUCUCCUCGGGUCUGGGCCUCUGCCACAGACAGACCAAAGCCAGGCACUCACACCUUCUAGGAAACCAAACCAUCGAUCGUGUCGAGAGAUCUGACCUGGGAGCUCCCACCUGCCGGCAUCUCGCAGUGCCCUCAGCUGUGAAAAGGAUGGCAACCAUGGAGCUUUGCAACAUAUUUGUGGAGCGCUCCCUUCUGCACUGAUGCUUUCCUACUUUGUCAAGACAAACAGCCUGUCCUAGAGGGAAUGGAUAGAAGCCACGGGGAGAGCUUAGAAAUACAGCUACCUGUAUUUGUAUCACCAGUAUUACCAGGGAAAUGAAAUCCUGUUCUCAUCCACACCAUCUACUCACACGAUUUUAAUAUGCAAGAGGUUAGGAAAAAGCUGUGAGAAAUCAUUGGAACUGAGAGAGAUGAGGUGUAUUCCUGACUUUUAUGCAAGUAAUUUAAUCUUUGUGCCUUAGUAUCCAUAAAGCCCCCUAAGUGGAAGGUGGUAAGUUAGUACCACAAACCUGUGCAGCUGAUUGUGUCUCUGGCGCAUGAAAAAGUGGGCAACAAGGAGGGAGGGUGGCUGGGAGGAGUUUGGAGAAUAACAGCAGCUCCUUGCUCUUCUUGAAGGGUUUCUUUCUGCAGUGUGGAUGAAUCCUUAUGGGCAUCUGCAGGCUUGCUGCUGAGCAGAAGGGAGUCCCAGCUGCUGGCACCCUUCUGUGUGCUGGAGAAUGACCGUGGAGAACUAAUAGCAUUUGGGUUUUUCCAGGAAGGAGGGAGGAGACCUGAAUUACUGUGCAUUGCUGCAGGUUUGCAGUUAAGAGAUGAGUUUGUUGACUUACGUUGCUUACCUAUCCCUGUUUGAUACGCUGUUCUCUGUGAGAACCCUUUUGGGUAUUCCCAGGCUUCAAAGCACAGCUGGCUGGUGCGUCAUGUUCGGCGUGGUGCUGAGUGGACCACUGCAGUGUCUAUGCUGCCUAGAAAUUAAGCUCCUAGGUGUAAUACUGUUUGUCCUGUUAGUUGGUGUGGCCUGCCCUCCUCUGUUAAAAACGGAAUUCUUGGUUGCAGAGCAGCGUUUGUGUUCUGCUGCACACAGACUUGUGACUGUGUGCUAUCAAGCAUUGCAGCCAUCCCACGUGAGCUACAGAGGGGACAUCAGAAAAUUGGUGCUUGUGCACGGGAGACACCUACUUUAAAUGACCCUGUUGGUGUCGUCUUUGGACCAAAGUGGGCUGUGGGUGAUGUGUUGUGGCCGCAUGACUGUGAAGAACAGUACUGAUGUCAUACAGUCAUUUUGCAUAGUAAAGCACAAGAAAGUAACUUUGUGUGUUGUUGGUGCCUGCAUAAAGCAUGAAUGUGGGACCUUGCAGGGAAAGGUGGCUGAGGAUCUUCAAGUCAGCCUUUAGUCUCUAUUCUAUGGUAUUUACUUUCCCGGCCAUGCUGAACUUAAUUCUAGGACAAGAUGCUGUAUUUCACUGCUCUUUUUCUGGUUUAUGCACUGUGGGUUUCUCAGGUCUUUCAGGAAUGACUUCAAGGUUGGAAGACUGCUAAUAGAGGGAGCAUCAGGCCAUGUGUGCUUUAGGUCUGGGUUCCUCUCCAUCUAAUAACACUAUUUGUCAAGGUUUUAGGUUUUAUCCUGUGAUCUGUUCCUCAAAUAUUCAAUUAAAGCUCCAAGUGGAGAAUCAUUUGCACAUAGUAGAUCAUGGAAUUAUCUUCUUCCUGCACCACUCUCACAUUUGUUCACACUUUCAGUAUGAGACUAUUUUUGUUUUCUCCAAAGCUCUCAGCAGCUCCGUUCAAGACUGGCUUUAUGCCUUGAUGUCAGCCUGGGAGGUCAGUGCUUAUUAAAAUAGCUCCCAGGUCUCUGUUUAAAUGUUGUUUGUUUGGGUUUUUUUUUUUGGGUGGCAAAAAUAUAAAGCAUUUUUAUAUUAGCAUUUCUGCAGUAGGGGCUUUUGCCAGAUUCAGGCUGUCCUGUGUGAUGCAGAGAGCAUGGCGUGGGUUGUUGGACUCGGGGCUGAGAGACCAGAGGUCUGCUCUUAUUCUGCUAUUAAAUUGUUUUGUCACUGAGGGCAAAUCUAUUCCUGUUCCAUCCGGUGUUUUCUUCUCUGUAAAUGAGGCCAAAAACAUAUUUUCAGCUUUUGUAAAACGCUUGGAGAUUCAUGGAUAAAAAGUGCUGGGUGAGUGCUAAGUAUUUUCUUAUUAUGUUUGCAGACAAACUGAUUGAUUCAUUCUGGGUACUAAUUGCCUUUGAGUAGCAUUGCAGAUCCUCUGGUCGUGGCUGCUGCAUUUUAUAUCUACAACAGAGUUAAUUUUAUUACAGAAAUGCAUUGGAAGAAAAAAGUCUCUCAUACUUGAAAUUUUGAUUCUUUAUUCAUUAAAACAACAACAACAACAAAAAAGUGUGUGGUGGGGAGGGGGGGAGGAAAGGGCAAAUAUUUUCUACCUGAUAUUUUUCCUAGGCUAGGAUGAAGAUUUGUUAGCAGCACAACACAAAAAUGGAAUAAACAGAAUUUGCUGUAAGAGCUCGAUUUAUUGUUUUUGUUUUCUCAGAACCUUAGUGGUGCAGCCAGGAGUCCCAUUGUUAGGAAGAGAUGGUAGGGAUGUGUGCUGGGCUGUGCAGAAUUAUUACCCGCCAGUUUCUUGCUUCUUCCUGACGUCUGGAGUAGCAGUGUGCUUCCUACCAAGGGCAUUGCUGU